rnacentral:rRNA from 1 species
AACGAACGCUGGCGGCAGGCUUAACACAUGCAAGUCGAGCGCCUCGCAAGAGGAGCGGCAGACGGGUGAGUAACGCGUGGGAACGUACCCUUAUCUUCGGAAUAGCUCUGGGAAACUGGAAGUAAUACCGAAUGUGCCCUUAGGGGGAAAGAUUUAUCGGAUAAGGAUCGGCCCGCGUUGGAUUAGCUAGUUGGUGGGGUAAAGGCCUACCAAGGCGACGAUCCAUAGCUGGUCUGAGAGGCUGAUCAGCCACAUUGGGACUGAGACACGGCCCAAACUCCUACGGGAGGCAGCAGUGGGGAAUAUUGGACAAUGGGCGCAAGCCUGAUCCAGCCAUGCCGCGUGAGUGAUGAAGGCCUUAGGGUUGUAAAGCUCUUUCACCGGAGAAGAUAAUGACGGUAUCCGGAGAAGAAGCCCCGGCUAACUUCGUG